CCUACGGGUGGCAGCAGUGAGGAAUAUUGGGCAAUGCCCGCAAGGGUGACCCAGCAACGCCGCGUGGAGGAUGAAUGCCGUAAGGUUGUAAACUCCUGUUAGAGGGGACGAAAGAUUCCGGUAGCACCGGAAUUUGACUGUACCCUCAGAGAAAGCCCCGGCUAACUACGUGCCAGCAGCCGCGGUAAUACGUAGGGGGCAAGCGUUGUCCGGAUUUACUGGGUGUAAAGGGCGCGCAGGCGGAUUAGCAAGUCAGAGGUGAAAUCCUGCAGCUUAACUGCAGAACUGCCUUUGAAACUGUUAAUCUUGAGUGCGGAAGAGAGAGACGGAAUUCCAGGUGUAGUGGUGAAAUACGUAGAUAUCUGGAAGAACACCAGUUGCGAAGGCGGUCUCUUGGUCCGUAACUGACGCUCAGGCGCGAAAGCGUGGGUAGCAAACAG
rnacentral:rRNA from 1 species